rnacentral:rRNA from 1 species
GACGAACGCUGGCGGCGUGCUUAACACAUGCAAGUCGAACGGAAAGGCCCUGCUUUUGUGGGGUGCUCGAGUGGCGAACGGGUGAGUAACACGUGAGUAACCUGCCCUUGACUUCGGGAUAACUUCAGGAAACUGGAGCUAAUACCGGAUAGGAGCUCCUGCUGCAUGGUGGGGGUUGGAAAGUUUCGGCGGUUGGGGAUGGACUCGCGGCUUAUCAGCUUGUUGGUGGGGUAGUGGCUUACCAAGGCUUUGACGGGUAGCCGGCCUGAGAGGGUGACCGGCCACAUUGGGACUGAGAUACGGCCCAGACUCCUACGGGAGGCAGCAGUGGGGAAUAUUGCACAAUGGGCGGAAGCCUGAUGCAGCAACGCCGCGUGCGGGAUGACGGCCUUCGGGUUGUAAACCGCUUUCGCCUGUGACGAAGCGUGAGUGACGGUAAUGGGUAAAGAAGCACCGGCUAACUACGUGCCAGCAGCCGCGGUGAUACGUAGGGUGCGAGCGUUGUCCGGAUUUAUUGGGCGUAAAGGGCUCGUAGGUGGUUGAUCGCGUCGGAAGUGUAAUCUUGGGGCUUAACCCUGAGCGUGCUUUCGAUACGGGUUGACUUGAGGAAGGUAGGGGAGAAUGGAAUUCCUGGUGGAGCGGUGGAAUGCGCAGAUAUCAGGAGGAACACCAGUGGCGAAGGCGGUUCUCUGGGCCUUUCCUGACGCUGAGGAGCGAAAGCGUGGGGAGCGAACAGGCUUAGAUACCCUGGUAGUCCACGCUGUAAACGGUGGGUACUAGGUGUGGGGUCCACUCCACGGGUUCCGUGCCGUAGCUAACGCUUUAAGUACCCCGCCUGGGGAGUACGGCCGCAAGGCUAAAACUCAAAGGAAUUGACGGGGCCCCGCACAAGCGGCGGAGCAUGCGGAUUAAUUCGAUGCAACGCGUAGAACCUUACCUGGGUUUGACAUGGAUCGGGAGUGCUCAGAGAUGGGUGUGCCUCUUUUGGGGUCGGUUCACAGGUGGUGCAUGCCUGUCGUCAGCUCGUGUCGUGAGAUGUUGGGUUAAGUCCCGCAACGAGCGCAACCCUUGUUCACUGUUGCCAGCACGUUAUGGUGGGGACUCAGUGGAGACCGCCGGGGUCAACUCGGAGGAAGGUGGGGAUGACGUCAAGUCAUCAUGCCCCUUAUGUCCAGGGCUUCACGCAUGCUACAAUGGCUGGUACAGAGAGUGGCGAGCCUGUGAGGGUGAGCGAAUCUCGGAAAGCCGGUCUCAGUUCGGAUUGGGGUCUGCAACUCGACCUCAUGAAGUCGGAGUCGCUAGUAAUCGCAGAUCAGCAACGCUGCGGUGAAUACGUUCCCGGGGCU